CAACAUCGGCUGUGCUGAUAUUUAUGAUUUUCUGCGACCACAGCUAUAAUACAGUCAAUUGCUCAGACUCGACCCAUGCAGAUGUACAUUGUCCAAAACGAACUCCAAAAGGACCAUAUGGUUUAAGUGACAGUUCACAAACUUUCAUUGACUGUGUCACACUGUCAUCAACUAAUGGAGACAAGGUAUCGGGGCCGUUACUGCCGGCACU